AAAAACAAUAGCUUCGGACGCGGACAGAAAGCGUUGUGAUCUCCGAUGGCAGUGGCAAUGGAAGUUUGCCGUUGCCGAUCUGUGUUAAGAAACGUGAAUUUCAGAGGUUGGGAUCCAAACCCAAACCCCCUAUUUGGGCAUCAGAACCCCAAAAUCCAUUGAUAUCAAACAACGGCAUGCGUCGAGCCGCAGAGGGUUUUAUCAAUUUGGGCAAAUCUUCGUCAAACAUUGGAACGUGAUAAAGAACGUGUUUUCUUUGAAGCAUUUGAUGUGGAUCUUGUCUUCUUCGAUGCGAUUCUGGUUGUCAUAAUUGGUGUACUCUUUCAUUUCAUGGGUGUCUCGCCACUUGAAACACAUCUUGGUAUCAUCUCACUUUUAAUAGUGGCUACAAUUGUCUAUAUCAUUGCAAAUUUGUUGAUAAAAGUACAACCGCAAGAUGCAGAUGCUGCCUACCGUUUCAUCUUCGGGCUUGUUUGUCUGGUUUCUGGAAUUUUUUCUGCUGAGCUACUUCUUGCAUUAAUCAUUUCUCCCCUUAGGUUAUUCAUGUUUGAUUUAUGUCUAAUCCUGACCUUUGGGGUACUGCAUCAUUGGUACCAAGGAAUUUAUGAGGGUCUUUACAAAACAACUGAUAUGGUACUCAAGGCAGUACAUAUCUUGUAUAACAAGAUUUUUGGAUUACUUUGUUGGAUGUAUGGGCGGCUCUUACAGAUAUUCCAAUCAGGAGAUUCUGAUGCAAUUUCUUCAAGGGAAGGAGAUUUUGAGACGCAGCUGGCAGUAAUUCAGGAUUUAGUGGCCUGAUAUUGUGAACUACCUACAAAGUGUUUGAAGCAAAUCCUGGAUUGGACUAAAGCCAGUUGCAACACGGAUAUUUGAUAGAAUAUUGAUAUCAUUAAAGUCGUCGAGAAAUUUGGACUCAAUGGAAAUGGCCUUUUUUUUAGGGGUAACUCAAUAGGAAUGGAUUAUCUUUGUUGGAACCUCUUUUGGGUAGGGAGAUUUAUAAUUGUUGAGGUUGCCACUUGCCGGUUGGAAAGAUUUUAUUUCAUUAAUGGUCUGUUUGGU